rnacentral:rRNA from 1 species
UACGGGGGGGGCAAGCGUUGUUCGGAAUUACUGGGCGUAAAGGGCUCGUAGGCGGCCAACUAAGUCAGACGUGAAAUCCCUCGGCUUAACCGGGGAACUGCGUCUGAUACUGGAUGGCUUGAGUUUGGGAGAGGGAUGCGGAAUUCCAGGUGUAGCGGUGAAAUGCGUAGAUAUCUGGAGGAACACCGGUGGCGAAGGCGGCAUCCUGAACCAACACUGACGCUGAGUGAGCGAAAGCCAGGGGAGCAAACGGG